UGGGUCCUGAGCUAGUGACCCACCAACGUGAAAGAAAGCAAAUGCUGGUGGCUAUCAGGCUGAGUGAAGAGAGCGAAACUUGGAAUAUUCACUAUGCGCCAGAUGUUUGAGGUGCUAGAAAUCAGCAGCUGUAUAGGCAGAUCCCGUCUUGGAAAGAGCCCUCAAUCUAAUUGACCGAAUCUCUCUGCAGUCCCCAUCCAUUCCUGGAAUGGUUGAAGACUUUAAGACCAGAAUGAGACCUGGGUGAUGAAAGAUACCAUCUGAACUACACCCGUCUUGAGCAGACUGGAAGCCUCUAGCCAAAGUGUCUAUGACUAUGGAAAUGUAGAUGUUUAAGAUCAGUGUGAUGAAGGAA